CUACGGGUCGCAGCAGUUAGGAAUAUUCGGCAAUGGGGGAAACCCUGACCGAGCAAUGCCGCGUGAGUGAUGAAGGUUCUAUGAAUUGUAAAACUCUGUUGUAUGGGAAGAAUGACUAAAAUAGGAAAUGAUUUUAGUUUGACGGUACCAUGCCAGAAAGUUCCGGCUAACUACGUGCCAGCAGCCGCGGUAAUACGUAGGGAGCGAGCGUUAUCCGAAUUUAUUGGGCGUAAAGGGUGCGUAGGCGGUCGAUUAAGUCUAAAAUUAAAGUCUGAGGCUCAACCUCAGUUCGUUUUAGAAACUGAUCAACUUGAAUAUAGUAGAGGCAAAUGGAAUUUCUAGUGUAGCGGUAAAAUGUGUAGAUAUUAGAAGGAACACCAGUGGCGAAGGCGAUUUGCUGGGCUAUUAUUGACGCUGAGGCACGAAAGCGUGGGGAGCAAAUAGGAUUAGAUACCCGGGUAGUC
rnacentral:rRNA from 1 species